CAUCUGUAGCGAUGCAGAGAAUGCAUUUGACUGUUAGGGCUUUCAGGAGGAAUGGAAAAUUGCGUGUCAAUUCAUAAACCAUGUGCCAUGGAAUCGCUUCACAGUCAGAAGACAGUUGAAGAAACUUGUGUGGACUUAUGCAAAGGCUCUAUAAAGACAUUUUAUAUAUAUGCUGUAUAUACAUCCCAGGCAUGGAUCAAAGCUGGCGAGACAUUCAAUGACAUCAUCUUCACAGAAGAAUCAACCAAUUUGCUCAAUAUUGCUACAGGAAAAAAGGAAGAAGAUCAAGCAAACCGAGUCUCAAGCAUCCGCUCAUGUGUGGGGGCGAUUUCUCGCCAGGGACCAGGCCCAUAUUUUAUUUUUGGUAUCAUGGCUCAAGACUUCUUUAAGGAAGAAAUCAUCAACAGAUAUGCUGGACCCUAUGUAUUGUUAUUUUAUUAAUGAAAGCAUAAAUACUGUACUGCUGUUUUGAGUUAGAAAUGUAACACUUUAGAGUACUUAAGCAACAAAUACAUUGCAAGUUGGGAGAUUUUCACACCUACAGUAGCCGGGCUAUAAAGAGUAUUGUUCUGCUAAUAGAGCUACACCUGCUACAGUACUACAGUACACUUGUGAAAAACAAGUGGUUACAUUAACAAGUGGUUACAUGCGAUGCAGUGUCUUGGGCGCUGUACAAUGUCACCAGUUGGUGGUAGGCUACAGUACUACAGUAAGUGCAAAAUAAUCCUAACAUUUCCACACCCUAAUUGUAGUCUAAACCUGUUUUCAAAAUGCCUCCAGCUGUCCAUCA